CCUACGGGAGGCAGCAGUGGGGAAUUUUGGACAAUGGGCGCAAGCCUGAUCCAGCCAUGCCGCGUGCGGGAAGAAGGCCUUCGGGUUGUAAACCGCUUUUGUCAGGGAAGAAAUCCUUUGGGUUAAUACCUCGGAGGGAUGACGGUACCUGAAGAAUAAGCACCGGCUAACUACGUGCCAGCAGCCGCGGUAAUACGUAGGGUGCGAGCGUUAAUCGGAAUUACUGGGCGUAAAGCGUGCGCAGGCGGUUAUGCAAGACAGAUGUGAAAUCCCCGGGCUCAACCUGGGAACUGCAUUUGUGACUGCAUAGCUAGAGUACGGUAGAGGGGGAUGGAAUUCCGCGUGUAGCAGUGAAAUGCGUAGAUAUGCGGAGGAACACCGAUGGCGAAGGCAAUCCCCUGGACCUGUACUGACGCUCAUGCACGAAAGCGUGGGGAGCAAACAGGAUUAGAUACCCUGGUAGUCCACGCCCUAAACGAUGUCAACUGGUUGUUGGACGGCUUGCUGUUCAGUAACGAAGCUAACGCGUGAAGUUGACCGCCUGGGGAGUACGGCCGCAAGGUUGAAACUCGAAAGGAAGUUGACGG
rnacentral:rRNA from 1 species